rnacentral:misc_RNA from 1 species
GAUGAAGAACGUAGCGAAUUGCGAUAUGUAAUGUGAAUUGCAGAAUUCAGUGAAUCACUGAAUCAUCGAAUCUUUGAACGCAUAUUGCACCCUCUGGUAUUCCGGAGGGUAUACCUGUUUGAGUGUCAUUUAAUCUCUCAAUUCAGUCAAGUGUGUUAAAUCACCUUGUGCUGAUUUGGAUGCUGAAGGUUGCUGGACUAGCUUUCAGCUCCUUUUAAACUCAGGAGCAGAUCUGUGGAGCUUGCUUCGACUUGAUAGAUUUGUCUUUGUUGUUGCAUAUUCAUAAAGAUCAGCUGCCAAUUGUCCAUUUACUGGACUGUCUCAUUGAGGCAUAAACCUUGACAUUUGACCUCAAAUCAGGUAGGACUACCCGCUGAACUUAAGCAUAUCAAUAAGCGGAGGA